CCUACGGGAGGCAGCAGUAGGGAAUAUUGCUCAAUGGGGGAAAGCCUGAAGCAGCAACGCCGCGUGCAGGAUGAAGGUUUUCGGAUUGUAAACUCCUUUUGUUAGAGAAGAUAAUGUGAAUAUGUAACUAAUUAGCACCGGCUAAUUCCGUGCCGGCAGCCGCGGUAAUACUGAGGGUGCAAGCGUUACUCGGAAUUACUGGGCGUAAAGAGGUCGUAUGCGGGAUAGCAAGUCAGAGGUGAAAUCCUUUGGCUUAACCAUAGAACUGCAUUUGAAACUGUUAGUCUAGAGUAUGGGAGAGGUAGGUGGAAUUCUAGGUGUAGGGGUAAAAUCCGUAGAGAUCAAGAGGAAUACUCAUGGCGAAGGCGACUUGCUAGAACAUAACUGACGCUGAUGCGCGAAAGCGUGGGGAGCAAACAGGAUUAGAUACCCCUGUAGUC
rnacentral:rRNA from 1 species